rnacentral:rRNA from 1 species
ACGAAGGUCCCAAGCGUUGUUCGGAAUCACUGGGCGUAAAGGGUGCGUAGGCGGUUUGGUAAGUCAGAUGUGAAAUCCCGGGGCUCAACCCCGGAACUGCAUCCGAUACUGCCGGACUAGAGGACUGGAGAGGUGACUGGAAUUCUCGGUGUAGCAGUGAAAUGCGUGGAUAUCGAGAGGAACACUCGUGGCGUAAGCGAGUCACUGGACAGUAUCUGACGCUGAGGCACGAAGGCCAGGGUAGCGAAAGGGA